AAUAGGCCUAUUUCACAAGAUGGCGACCAAAACCGGAUGUAGGGAUACUUUGUUUCCGGUUACCGUUGCUACGGACGCAAGUCCAUUUCUGACAGCGAAAAAUUGAGCCUAAACAGCGACGUGUUCUCACACUUGCUAACCACAGCAAGUUAGCCGAUUAAAGAGAUAUUUCACUUCGACAUAACAUAAAUUAUUUUCUGGAGGUGACUCCAUUGUGUUUUCGUAGCGUGAAGCAAAAUCUGCUGUCCGUUAAAAUCUGUUCCUCUCGGUUGUCCCGAAAAUGAAUGAAUAGGGAGCCUGAUAGCUGUGAGGAAAAGCGAUUAUGUUAACGUUGACGGUCAGCAAGGGAGGCAAAGCUAUGUAAGUACAAUGUGUUUGGCUCCACAAAAUGUACUUAUGUUAUACCGAAGUGAAAUAUCUCUGAACUAAGUUUUGUACUACCGUUACUAUUUUGUGACAUGUUGUUUGUGCUGUACUUGUUCUAAUAAAGAUUUAUAUUGCUUGUCAAA